rnacentral:rRNA from 1 species
CACGGUAGGGCGCAAGCGUUGUCCGGAAUUAUUGGGCGUAAAGAGCUCGUAGGUGGCCUGUUGCGUCCGCUGUGAAAACUCAGGGCUUAAACCCUGAGGCCGGCAGCUGGAUACGGGCAGGCUAGAGGUAGGUAGGGGAGAAUGGAAUUCCUGGUGUAGCGGUCGAAAUGCGCAGAUAUCAGGAAGAACACCCGUGGCUAAGGCGGCUCUCUAGUACGGUACUGACGCUGAGACGCGAAGCGUGGGGAGCGAACAGG